AUGAAGCUGCUGAAGCUGAGAAAACAAGUGUUGGACAAAAGAAUUUCAGAAGUUCCACUCAUAGACCCGCAUCCAGAUGGUUAUGGGGACAACCUGCAAAAUCCCGAUGUUGCUAUCUCGAAAGGACGUCCACAAUCAGGGCGAUACAAAACCUUCAUGGAAACUUUGCGUGCCAAACAAAAAAUUCACUGUAGCCGAUGUGGUUCUGAAACCCACAACAUAUCUACUUGCACAAUAAUUGCUGAUAAUGUUGCCAAGGCACAGCGACAAAAAAGCACUCAAAAACGUGCUUCAGGUUCGAUGAAAGCAGCAAAAACCAAUAAACCAUCAGGUGGGCGGACGAAGAAGAGCAAGACACAAAGCACAACAACAACAGGAGACAAAGACUGA
rnacentral:rRNA from 1 species